rnacentral:rRNA from 1 species
AUUGAACGCUGGCGGCAUGCUUUACACAUGCAAGUCGGACGGCAGCACAGAGAAGCUUGCUUCUUGGGUGGCGAGUGGCGAACGGGUGAGUAACAUAUCGGAACGUACCGAGCAGUGGGGGAUAACUAAUCGAAAGAUUAGCUAAUACCGCAUAUUUUCUGAGGAAGAAAGCAGGGGACCAUUUGGCCUUGCGCUGUUUGAGCGGCCGAUAUCUGAUUAGCUAGUUGGUGGGGUAAAGGCCUACCAAGGCGACGAUCAGUAGCGGGUCUGAGAGGAUGAUCCGCCACACUGGGACUGAGACACGGCCCAGACUCCUACGGGAGGCAGCAGUGGGGAAUUUUGGACAAUGGGCGCAAGCCUGAUCCAGCCAUGCCGCGUGUCUGAAGAAGGCCUUCGGGUUGUAAAGGACUUUUGUCAGGGAAGAAAAGGAUAGGGUUAAUACCCCUGUCUGAUGACGUACCUGAAGAAUAAGC